GAUGAACGCUGGCGGCGUGCCUAAUACAUGCCAGUCGAGCGAACGGACGAGAAGCUUGCUUCUCUGACGUUAGCGGCGGACGGGUGAGUAACACGUGGAUAACCUACCUAUAAGACUGGGAUAACUUCGGGAAACCGGAGCUAAUACCGGAUAAUAUAUUGAACCGCAUGGUUCAAUAGUGAAAGACGGUCUUGCUGUCACUUAUAGAUGGAUCCGCGCUGCAUUAGCUAGUUGGUAAGGUAACGGCUUACCAAGGCAACGAUGCAUAGCCGACCUGAGAGGGUGAUCGGCCACACUGGAACUGAGACACGGUCCAGACUCCUACGGGAGGCAGCAGUAGGGAAUCUUCCGCAAUGGGCGAAAGCCUGACGGAGCAACGCCGCGUGAGUGAUGAAGGUCUUCGGAUCGUAAAACUCUGUUAUCAGGGAAGAACAAAUGUGUAAGUAACUGUGCACAUCUUGACGGUACCUAAUCAGAAAGCCACGGCUAACUACGUG
rnacentral:rRNA from 1 species